rnacentral:rRNA from 1 species
UUUUUUUUAAGGUCUGGCCUGCUCACUGAUUUUUUUAAGAGCCGCGGUAUUUUGACCGUGCAAAGGUAGCAUAAUAAUUAGUUCUUUAAUUGGGAACUGGAAUGAAUGGCUGGACGAGAAAGAUACUGUCUCUUUCCAAUUUUUUUUGAAUUUUACUUUUAAGUUAAAAGGCUUAAAUUUUUUUAAAAGACGAGAAGACCCUAUAGAGUUUUAUUGAAUAAGGUUUAUUUUAUUUUGGAAGUUUUUUGUUUAUACUUUAUUUUAAUUUUGUUGGGGUGACUGUAAAAUUUAUUUAACUUUUAUUUUAUUUUAACAUUUAUUUAUGAGUAUUUGAUCCAUUAUUUAUGAUUAGAAGAAUAAUUACCUUAGGG